AUCUAAGUACCCCGAGGAAAAGAAAUCAACCGAGAUUCCCCCAGUAGCGGCGAGCGAACGGGGAGGAGCCCAGAGCCUGAAUCAGCAUGUGUGUUAGUGGAAGCGUCUGGAAAGGCGCGCGAUACAGGGUGACAGCCCCGUACACAAAAGCGCAUAUGCUGUGAGCUCGAUGAGUAGGGCGGGACACGUGGUAUCCUGUCUGAAUAUGGGGGGACCAUCCUCCAAGGCUAAAUACUCCUGACUGACCGAUAGUGAACCAGUACCGUGAGGGAAAGGCGAAAAGAACCCCGGCGAGGGGAGUGAAAAAGAACCUGAAACCGUGUACGUACAAGCAGUGGGAGCACCCUUUGGGGUGUGACUGCGUACCUUUUGUAUAAUGGGUCAGCGACUUAUAUUCUGUAGCAAGGUUAACCGAAUAGGGGAGCCGGAGGGAAACCGAGUCUUAACCGGGCGUUAAGUUGCAGGGUAUAGACCCGAAACCCGGUGAUCUAGCCAUGGGCAGGUUGAAGGUUGGGUAACACUAACUGGAGGACCGAACCGACUAAUGUUGAAAAAUUAGCGGAUGACCUGUGGCUGGGGGUGAAAGGCCAAUCAAACCGGGAGAUAGCUGGUUCUCCCCGAAAGCUAUUUAGGUAGCGCCUCGUGAAUUCAUCUCCGGGGGUAGAGCACUGUUUCGGCUAGGGGGCCAUCCCGGCUUACCAACCCGAUGCAAACUGCGAAUACCGGAGAAUGUUAUCACGGGAGACACACGGCGGGUGCUAACGUCCGUCGUGAAGAGGGAAACAACCCAGACCGCCAGCUAAGGUCCCAAAGUCAUGGUUAAGUGGGAAACGAUGUGGGAAGGCCCAGACAGCCAGGAUGUUGGCUUAGAAGCAGCCAUCAUUUAAAGAAAGCGUAAUAGCUCACUGGUCGAGUCGGCCUGCGCGGAAGAUGUAACGGGGCUAAACCAUG
rnacentral:rRNA from 1 species